rfam:Schistosoma margrebowiei strain Zambia genome assembly, scaffold: SMRZ_scaffold0000012
AUCCAGCUGAUGAGUCCCGAAUAGGACGAGACGAGCAUCCUGGAU